AUUGAACGCUGGCGGCAUGCCUUACACAUGCAAGUCGAACGGCAGCAUAGGAGCUUGCUCCUGAUGGCGAGUGGCGAACGGGUGAGUAAUAUAUCGGAACGUGCCCUAGAGUGGGGGAUAACUAGUCGAAAGAUUAGCUAAUACCGCAUACGAUCUACGGAUGAAAGUGGGGGAUCGCAAGACCUCAUGCUCCUGGAGCGGCCGAUAUCUGAUUAGCUAGUUGGUGGGGUAAAAGCCUACCAAGGCGACGAUCAGUAGCUGGUCUGAGAGGACGACCAGCCACACUGGGACUGAGACACGGCCCAGACUCCUACGGGAGGCAGCAGUGGGGAAUUUUGGACGAUGGGGGCAACCCUGAUCCAGCAAUGCCGCGUGAGUGAAGAAGGCCUUCGGGUUGUAAAGCUCUUUUGUCAGGGAAGAAACGGUUUUGGAUAAUACCCAGAGCUAAUGACGGUACCUGAAGAAUAAGCACCGGCUAACUACGUGCCAGCCGCCGCAGUAAAAC
rnacentral:rRNA from 1 species